rnacentral:rRNA from 1 species
GACGAACCGUGCGAACGUUAUUCGGAAUCACUGGGCUUAAAGCGCGUGUAGGCGGGACGGCACGUCCGACGCUGAAAUCCCCCGGCUCAACCGGGGAACGGGCGCGGAUACGACCGCCCUGGAGGGGCGUAGGGGGACCUGGAACUUCCGGUGGAGCGGUGAAAUGCGUUGAUAUCGGAAGGAACGCCGGUGGCGAAAGCGACGUACUGGACCUCUUCUGACGCUGAGGCGCGAAAGCUAGGGGAGCAAACGGG